rnacentral:snRNA from 1 species
AACGAGAUUCCCACUGUCCCUGUCUACUAU